UGGGCGGGAAUGAAUCAGACAGGAAUGUU
rnacentral:piRNA from 1 species